rnacentral:tRNA from 1 species
GAUUAUUUAGUUUAUUAAUUUUAAAACAAAUGUUUUGAAAACAUUAAAAAAGAAAAAUUCUUAAUAAUUA